rnacentral:lncRNA from 1 species
ACCUCUAUUAUCCUUUUUAUCCCUACAUUUUCUAGCUUCAUAUUCUUUGAUCAUUUCUUCAUAUGACAAUAAUUUUCUUUCUUUUUUUUUUUAAGAUUUUAUUUAUUUAUUCAUAGAGAGAGAGAGGCAGAGACACAGGCAGAGGGAGAAGCAGGCAUCAUACAGAGAGCCUGAUGUGGGAUUCGAUCCAGGGUCUCCAGGAUCAUGCCCUGGGCUGCAGGCGGCACUAAACCGCUGCGCCACCAGGGCUGCCCGACGAUAAUUUUCUAAAAUAGUUUUCUGUAGAGAGAAUAAAAGAAAAUUCAUCCUUUUUUCUAGCAUGGUUGAUCAAAAUUUGUCUUUUUUUUGAUAAUCUUAUGGUUUUAUUAACACACAUAUGACACGCAUAUCAGCUGUCUAUUCAUUUUUUUCACUGUGCAGCCUGGCAUUAGGAUUGGUGAAUCUGAUGGCCACCUAGGCUGUUCCUCCCACAAUGGCUUUGCAGCUCAUGGAGGAGAGAGACAUUGUGAGCAGCACUUUAGGCUCCUUGGCCUCAUGGACUAGGAACUUCUGGAAGCCACUGGACAGCAUGCACUUUGCUUUCUUAUUGCUCACGUAACCACUGUUGGGCAUCAAGAUCUGGCCCUUGAAUCUUCUGUGCACCCUACAGCUAGUACCUCUGGGUUUCCACCACUUGUGCUUCAUUUUGACAUCUGACUGGUGCUGGAUGAACUUCUUGGUCCUCUUUUUAACAAUCGUGGGCUUUACCAGAGGUCUGAAGAUGGCCAUGAUGACAAGUUUAAUCGCUGUCCCAGUGACUUCUGCAUUAAGGAGAAGGCAAGAUAAAGGAUCCCUUACCAGGUGGAGAAAGAGGCUUUCUGAGUAGUGAAAGGUGCACGUGUGUGAGGUAUAUUUGGACACUGGAUGACGUGUGUGGUGAAAAAGACGUCUCUAUCGCUGCUCUGGGAUCCUAGGAAACCCAGACGGCCCUGAGGUGAGGUACGAUCUGCUGCUUGACGUUCUCGACGUUCUCGCUAGACUCCUUCUCCCUGUUUUCUUUCAGGUGAUUAUACAGAAACCAAAUACAUAUCUUAAAAAAUUUUUUUUUAGAUUUUUAUUUAUUUAUGAUAGUCACACAGAGAGAGAGAGGCAGAGACACAGG